ACCUCAUUUAUGGGUUGGUAGUGGAGGCAAGUGCAUCUCUUACUAGAGAUUUCUUUCUACUUGAGGCCUUUUAAAGGUCUUUCUGAGACUUACCCAGGCAAUCCUCCAGCUUCCAUUACAUUGGCUAAAGUAACAUCAUUUGACCAGACAUCGUAUUGCCAUUUUCGGAGACCUAGGACCCCACAAAGCACCCUUCCUUACUUUCCCCAAAGUUAAUAAAUAUACACAUGAUUCAAGAAAUGACUUUAUUAGGAAUACAGGACAGAAACAUGAUGAAACUACUAAAUUGGUGCAAAAUCAGUAGAAGAGUGAUAAUAAACAUUCAUGUACUCCCAAAGCCCUGAGAAGAGUGGCAUAGAAAUCACCUCUAACUAUGGCUGACUAUGGACCACAACUUAUGAAUUAAAGCUAAACUUCUGAGAUUUUCAUUGUAUACCUGGAAGAGGAGGAAUUAAUUGGUGAAAUCAUUAUUGACAGAGCUUUGAUUUUGACGCCACUAUAAGGGAGGAUUCUUUGUGAAGUACAUUCUCACUCUGCAGUGACCUGUGAAUGUUGAAAAGGAUUCCUGAAACUAAUAAUUUUACAUAGUUCAUGAAGAGAUAAUGUUGUGCAUAAAUCUUUGCAGUUUGUCCUGCUACAAAGGCAUGUGGAAUUUCACAUUUAAGUUGCAGUUCAAAAGCAGACAUAAUGAGAAAAUAAAAAAGCUACCUAAUUUAUGUAAUAUUUAAUUUUCUGUAGGUUUCUAAAUUAAAACUUUCCAAGGGAUUUCAUAGAAGUCCUUAAACUCAUACUCUGGCUAUAUUUUAUCCUUACCUUUCAUUGGCCAGCAUGUUUUUAAAAAUAUCAUCAAGCCACAAGAGAUGGAGAUCUUUAGAAAAACUUUGCGGCUGUUUUAGGGGUAGCAAUCAUAUUUAUUUCUUGUACAGCUGUACUUUAAAAGGUACAGUUAAUUGAAAGGGCAUGUGCAGCAUAGGACAAGAUGAGAUGCGUUACGGCACUAUACUCCUGGCAUCAAUUUAAGAAGCUCUGCAGCCUUGGAUUGCUGCAGAACUACAUGCUGUGUCGGCCCUCACUAAUGCAGGUAACUGUAGAAAUCUAUUGUCACCAUAGGAAAUCUAGGCCUGACACAAUUUUUAGUCAUAUUUAAUACAACAGCAGAGAGAGACUUAUGCACAGCUUUCUAAUAGAUUAAGUAUUUCCUUGUCCUAUUUCUAUCUACUGAAAGUUGACCUUUCAUUAUACAGUAUCUGCUUGCAGGCAAACCUUAAAUACGACUCCAAGGAAUUAUUAUCAUUGUUACACUUCUUAUGUUCACUGUGUGCUUGGCAAAGCCCCAAGGAAAUAAAGGAGAUAAUGAGACAAGCCACCUAAUGAUAACUUUGUCUUCACUGUGCACAUGCACUGUGCCAUUCACUGAGUGAGCUUAUACUAAGACCAUAGCAUGUAGCCUGCAAGCCAAAUCAUUUCAGGACUAAGGCUUGCUCACUUGUGUAUGUUCUGCUGGCUAACUAAAGUAGUAUUUAAUUCAUAGAGUCAUAGAAUAACCGAAGUUGGAAAAGACCCUCAGGAUUACUCAGUCCAACCGUCCACUGAUCACCAAUAGCCAAACAAUGGCUGAACCAUGUCCCUCAACACAAGUCCAAAUGUUCCUUGAACACCUCCAGGGUCAGUGACUCCACCAGCUCCCUGUGCAGCCCAGUCCAGAGCCUGACCACUCUUUCAGAGAAGUAGUAUUUCCUAACAUCCAGCCUGAAUCGACACUGGUACAUCUUGAAGCCACUUCACCACCAUACCUACAAUAGUGUGAGUUUUCCUAGAAGCAGAUUAACAUUAAAAAACCUUUUCAUUUAAAAUAGUCUAUAAAAUAUCAUGGUACAUGAAAAUACAAUGCAGUUGCAGUGACCAAA